AGUUUNNANNUGGCUCAGGACGAACGCUGGCGGCGUGCUUAACACAUGCAAGUCGAACGAUGAAGCCCUUCGGGGUGGAUUAGUGGCGAACGGGUGAGUAACACGUGGGCAAUCUGCCCUUCACUCUGGGACAAGCCCUGGAAACGGGGUCUAAUACCGGAUACCACUCCUGCCUGCAUGGGCGGGGGUUGAAAGCUCCGGCGGUGAAGGAUGAGCCCGCGGCCUAUCAGCUUGUUGGUGGGGUAAUGGCCCACCAAGGCGACGACGGGUAGCCGGCCUGAGAGGGCGACCGGCCACACUGGGACUGAGACACGGCCCAGACUCCUACGGGAGGCAGCAGUGGGGAAUAUUGCACAAUGGGCGAAAGCCUGAUGCAGCGACGCCGCGUGAGGGAUGACGGCCUUCGGGUUGUAAACCUCUUUCAGCAG
rnacentral:rRNA from 1 species